UACGUAGGUGGCGAGCGUUGUCCGGAUUUACUGGGCGUAAAGAGCGCGCAGGCGGUCGUUCAAGUCGCGUGUGAAAGCCCCCGGCUCAACUGGGGAGGGUCACGCGAUACUGAUCGACUCGAAGGCAGGAGAGGGUAGUGGAAUUCCCGGUGUAGUGGUGAAAUGCGUAGAUAUCGGGAGGAACACCAGUGGCGAAGGCGACUACCUGGCCUGUUCUUGACGCUGAGGAGCGAAAGCGUGGGGAGCGAACAGG
rnacentral:rRNA from 1 species